CCUACGGGUGGCAGCAGUGAGGAAUAUUGGUCAAUGGUCGAGAUACUGAACCAGCCAAGCCGCGUGAGGGAAGACGGCACAGUGGGUUGUAAACCUCUUUUGUCGGAGAACAAAACCUGGGACGUGUCCCGGACUGCGUGUAUCCGAAGAAAAAGCAUCGGCUAACUCCGUGCCAGCAGCCGCGGUAAUACGGAGGAUGCGAGCGUUAUCCGGAUUUAUUGGGUUUAAAGGGUGCGUAGGCGGUCCGUUAAGUCAGCGGUAAAAUGGCGGGGCUCAACCCCGUCGCGCCGUUGAAACUGGCAGACUUGAGUUGGCGAGAAGUACGCGGAAUGCGCGGUGUAGCGGUGAAAUGCAUAGAUAGCGCGCAGAACUCCGAUUGCGAAGGCAGCGUACCGGCGCCAGACUGACGCUGAGGCACGAAAGCGUGGGUAUCGAACAGGAUUAGAUACCCUUGUAGUC
rnacentral:rRNA from 1 species